AGCAUUUUGGCUGGUAAAAGAAAGACAUUUUCAGCUCAAUUGUAGACAGAAUACAGCAGAGAUCAAUUUCCUGGGCCCUUCUCUCCAGUGCCGAGAAAAUGAUCGUUCUCAAAUCUGUAUUAUCAUCAAUGCCUACUCAUGUGAUGUUUUGCUUCAAACUCCAUGUCAGUUUGUGCAAAAGAAUACAGUUAGUCUUACUAGAUUCUGGUGGGAUGCCAACCCAGAAGAGAAAAAAAAAGUGCUGGGUGGCUUGGCACAAACUUACAAAAGGAAAGAAUGAAAGAGACUUGGGUUUAGAGACGUUCAACGGUUUAAUGAUGUCCUCCUAGCCAAAUUAAGUUGGCGCAUCCAGACUAAUCCAGAAAACCCACUUAGUCGAAUUCUGAAAGGCAAAUACUUCCCAUCAACUGACCUGCUAGAAGCUCAACCAUCCGAAUCAAUCUCCCAUGGGUGGCGUGGAAUUCUUGUAGGGGGAGAUCUCUUAAGCAAAUAUGGGAAAGGCUAUUGGCGAUGGGAACUCAACGAGCCUGUGGGAAGACAAUUGGAUAUCAACCACAAAGGUCUACCCAUCAGCCCUGCUUCAGAAAAUGUAUACAGAAUGAAAGUUGCUGACUUGUUUGUAAGCAACACAACGGAAUGGAACGUCAACCUGAUAAGGGAAAUCGUACCUGAGUAUGAAACGGAAAUCCGAUGUAUCAGGCCAAGCGCAUAUGAUGGAACUGACAAACACAUCUGGCUCCUGCAAUCAUCAGGAGAGUAUACCGCCAAGUCUGGGUAUCACUCCACAACAACACAUACAUGAACAAAAGGCCAACGUCAGUUUGAAAGCAAUGAAUUUAGCUUGAAAGCUGAAAUAUGGGAAUGACUUUUCUCUGAGAAGAUAAAACUGUUCCUAUGGAAAUCACUGCAAGGAGCAUUACCUGUCGGUGAAAACCUGGUCACCAGAAGAAUCAUCCCACACUCGGAUUGCAUUCGAUGUGGAGAGCAUGAAUCAAUCAAUCAUCUGUUCUUCUCAUGUCAGUUUACAAAAGAGGUAUGGGAGCUGCUCCCAUCGACAACAACUAUCGACCCAGCUCUUCACUGAUCUACAAUUGGGAUUUAUAUCCCUCAAAGAAAUAACUUGCCUUCCACCAACAGGAGUAGGAUCUGGACCUAUAUACCCGUGGAUCCUAUAAAAUCUCUAGACAGCGGGGAACAACAGAAUCUUCAACAAAAAAAAAAUUUCUGCAAAUGAAACGAUGAUAUAUGCCAUCAAGGGAGCACGAGAGUGGCAAUCUGCCCAACCAGAGAAGAAAAUCAAUUUGAAGGUAAAGAGAAGAGGCUCACUGCCUCAAUUACCGCAAGGAUUGAUUAAGUGCUUCACGGCUGGUGCAUGGAGAGAGGAUAUGCGAGGAGCUGGAAUGGGCUGGAUCUUCAAAUCAGA
rnacentral:lncRNA from 1 species